AGCUCCUCUGCUUGCCGGGCCUGUGCCUGUGACAUAUUCGGACCACACCUAGGAGAGCCACAGGUCAACCUGGCCCACCGUGGUCCAGUGCCUGGCUGACGCACAUCCUGGGGUUCAGACGUCAGCGCUGCACAGACAGUGCCUCACUUGCCCAGACUGGCGAUUCACGGAAGCGUACCUACUAAAAGGUCUCUUGCAAAGGAUGAGUUCAUAGAGCAAAAGAUAUUGCUGGUUGCUGUUGUUUCCUCCCAGCACUGAAGCCCCAGGGCCUUCAACAGUAAACAGUAGGUUGUCAACAAAUGUGUACUCAGUUAAAAAAAAAAGUGAGCCGCCCGAGGGGGCGGGGCGAGAAACCAGCAGAGCCUGGAUUUGAAGGGUCUCUCUGAGCCUGCGUGUCAAAGCGCCCCACUUACAAUCGCCUCUCCACAGUACCCCACCUUUCCACACGGGAAUCAGAGCUGUGGUUUUCCCACUGAGCACCCGGAGGGGUUGUUGAUGCAGGAAUCCCAGGGCCCCACGCCCAGAGGUCUUAGGCAGCGAGGCCGGGACUCCAGUUGGCCCCAUUCCUGUUCUAGAGAGGAAGUAUCUGUCCCUGGGCAGGAACCGGCCUGGCUCUCAGGAAAACUGAAGCAACAUACACCACUUUCUCCGCUCAGCUUCUGUGGCCCCGGGGCCGCGGGUGGCCACGUCAGCCUCCACAGGGCCCCGGCCUCUGGAGCAAGGAGGACGGUGGGAUGGGAGGCCGUGGGAGCCUCGCGGCCGUGCUGUGUGAAGGGGGCCUUGCCUGCCCAGAACCGGGCCCUCGCCCUCCUACCCGUUUGUGUAAACAGAGGCUCCGUGAGGGGCAGAGCCAGCCUGGGUGACACGGGAUUGGUGGCAAACAAGGUGAUGAACCAGGCCUUUCCGUACCAAACCCCCGACGUGUCCUCCUCGCCUGCAACCCACCCUCCUCCCUGUCCCACCUCUAAGUGCCUGGCCUCGCACCUGACAUCCACCGCCAAAGUGUCCUCUCUCCCUGAGCGUCAGGCCCUGUCCAGUCAAGAAAGUAGCAACUGUCCCCACGGGACAGACAAGACUGGAGCGUUGAGAGGGAAACGCUCCAAGUUAGCCUGACCGCCCUCUCAGGCUUUCCUCGCCCCCCGCUGCAGGCCAGCGACUGGGUUUAGUCAACAGGUGUUGCAGGGGUUUGGGUGCAAUGGCCCGGCGUUAAGACCUUCUGCGUUCUGGCUAAAGUCUCAAACAGGGAAAUUGCCAGAGAGAACUGGGCAAUUGGGGAAGAAGCGGGGGCUCCCCGGCUGCCUUGAAAUGGUGCCCCUUUGCUGAGCAGGGCUGGGGGCCUGGGAGGAGGCCUAGGGGUCAGCAUCGGGGUGGCCCCAGGAAGCCAGACCUGAGUGGCAAGGCCUCUGGCCUCACCAAAGACUCCACAGGCCCACAGCCCUGCUGAGCCAGGGAAGAUGGUGGGUCUUCAUUCAGUCACAGGUAGUGAUAGCUGCUGAGGAGGAGAAGUGUGGCCCUGAGUGUUUUGCUCAGGGAACGGAGUUUCCAGAAGAAAUCGAGAGACAGAGUCACGCCGGAGUAUCGGCAAAAACAACCGCUUUGGGGCUUUUGUUCAGAGCAACAUGGGGCCCGGGAGCUACAGGGAAGGUGGUGGAGACGGAUUCCUGGAAGCCACCUCAAUCCCACCUGCUGCUCAGUUUCAAGCCUAAAUCUUCCCGGGGUGUCACUUGAGGCUCUGGACAAAAUUUCGCAGCCUCUUCCUCCCAGCCUGAGGGCCCCAAACUUGCCAUCAUCUGUGCCACAGGAACCAGAGAGAGACAGAGAGAGAGAGAGAGAAACAACCCAUGAUAGCCUCUUUACACGGGGCUAUUCUGAAGAUUCAAAGAAAGACUGUAUAUCAAAAGUCUGGCACACAGGAGGCACUCAAUAAAUGUUCUAUCACUUUCCCUCCA